AAAAGGGGGGGCUUGCGUCAAGCAGGCUGAGAGUGGGCUGUGUUGCCCUGACCCGUAACCUGAUUUGGAUAAUGCCAACGUAGGGAGAUACA
rnacentral:ncRNA from 1 species